UACGAAGGGGGCUAGCGUUGCUCGGAAUUACUGGGCGUAAAGCGUGCGCAGGCGGUUCGUUGUGUCCGUCGUGAAAGCCCCGGGCUUAACCUGGGAACUGCGUCCGAUACUGGUUGGCUUGAAUCCGGGAGAGGGAUGUGGAAUUCCAGGUGUAGCGGUGAAAUGCGUAGAUAUCUGGAGGAACACCGGUGGCGAAGGCGGCAUCCUGGACCGGCAUUGACGCUGAGGCGCGAAAGCCAGGGGAGCAAACGGG
rnacentral:rRNA from 1 species